rnacentral:rRNA from 1 species
AACGAACGCUGGCGGCAUGCCUAACACAUGCAAGUCGAACGAGACCUUCGGGUCUAGUGGCGCACGGGUGCGUAACGCGUGGGAACCUGCCCUUAGGUUCGGAAUAACUCCCCGAAAGGGGUGCUAAUACCGGAUAAUGUCUUCGGACCAAAGCUUUAUCGCCUUUGGAUGGGCCCGCGUUGGAUUAGCUAGUUGGUAGGGUAAAAGCCUACCAAGGCGACGAUCCAUAGCUGGUCUGAGAGGAUGAUCAGCCACACUGGGACUGAGACACGGCCCAGACUCCUACGGGAAGCAGCAGUGGGGAAUAUUGGACAAUGGGCGAAAGCCUGAUCCAGCAAUGCCGCGUGAGUGAUGAAGGCCUUAGGGUUGUAAAGCUCUUUUACCCGGGAUGAUAAUGACAGUACCGGGAGAAUAAGCUCCGGCUAACUCCGUG